rnacentral:tRNA from 1 species
CGGGAUGUGGCUCAGCCUGGCUAGAGCGCAGCGUUCGGGACGCUGAAGUCCGGGGUUCGAAUCCCCGCAUCCCGA